CACCAUGGGAGUGGGCUGCACCAGAAGUGGUUAGUUUAACCGCACUUUCUUCGGAGAGAGUGGAGGACGAUCACCACGGUGUGGUUCAUGACUGGGGUGAAGUCGUAACAAGGUAGCGCUAGGGGAACCUGGCGCUGGAUCACCUCCUUAUACGAAGAU
rnacentral:rRNA from 1 species